rnacentral:rRNA from 1 species
CUCGUGUCGUGAGAUGUUGGGUUAAGUCCCGCAACGAGCGCAACCCUCGUCUUUAGUUGCCAUCAUUAAGUUGGGCACUCUAGAGAGACUGCCGUGGACAACACGGAGGAAGGUGGGGACGACGUCAAGUCAUCAUGCCCCUUACGUCUUGGGCUACACACGUCCUACAAUGCUACGGACAGAGGGCAGCAAGCUAGCGAUAGCAAGCAAAUCCCAUAAACCGUAGCUCAGUUCAGAUUGCAGGCUGCAACUCGCCUGCAUGAAGGCGGAAUCGCUAGUAAUCGCAGGUCAGCAUACUGCGGUGAAUACCGUUCCCGGGCCUU